ACGGCUCAGUAACACGUGGACAACCUACCCUGAGGUCGGGGAUAAACCCGGGAAACUGGGUAUAAUACCCGAUAGAUCUAGAUUGCUGGAAUGCUUUUAGGUCUAAAGUUCCGACGCCUCAGGAUGGGUCUGCGGCCUAUCAGGGUAGUAGUGGGUGUAAAGUACCUACUAGCCUACGACGGGUACGGGUUGUGAGAGCAAGAGCCCGGAGAUGGAUUCUGAGACACGAAUCCAGGCCCUACGGGGUGCAGCAGGCGCGAAACCUUUACAAUGCUGGCAACAGCGAUAAGGGGACCUCGAGUGCUACGAUACAAUCGUGGCUGUCUAGUUGCCUAGAAAGCAAUUGAUAGCAAGGGCCGGGCAAGACCGGUGCCAGCCGCCGCGGUAACACCGGCGGCUCGAGUGGUAACCGCUAUUAUUGGGUCUAAAGGGUCUGUAGCCGGCUUAGUUAGUCUCUUGAGAAAUCUGGCCGCUCAACGGUCAGGCGUUCAGGGGAUACUGCUAAAGCUCGAGACCGGGAGAGGUGAGAGGUACUUCAGGGGUAGGGGUGAAAUCUUGUAAUCCUUGAAGGACCACCAGUGGCGAAGGCGUCUCACCAGAACGGAUCUGACGGCAAGGGACGAAAGCUAGGGGCACGAACCGGAUUAGAUACCCGGGUAGUCCUAGCCGUAAACGAUACUCGCUAGGUGUCGGCCACGGUGCGACCGUGGUCGGUGCCGUAGGGAAGCCGUGAAGCGAGCCACCUGGGAAGUACGGCCGCAAGGCCGAAACUUAAAGGAAUUGGCGGGGGAGCAC
rnacentral:rRNA from 1 species